GACCCAAAAUUUGUCCUAUCUAAAAGAAAUUCCGCAACAGGAACUGACAAACGGCCAACCAGUAACCAGCUCAACUUGAAACCCAUCCCAUGGACAAGCACCAAUGCAUGACAUCGUUAUCGAUACUCUGUUAUGCUUGUAAACAGGAAGCUAGCAUAACUGUCCUCUAGCGGGCUCUACCUGUUGCCUGUGCUCUGGACUACUUGCUACCUGACGCCACGUGCCCUUGGGUGCUGGGGCUGAGAUGGCACAGAGUCAACGACACAGACUCUGGGAACAGGUUUUUUUAAAAACAUGAUCUUCAAA
rnacentral:lncRNA from 1 species